rnacentral:rRNA from 1 species
GUGGGGAAUAUUGCACAAUGGGGGAAACCCUGAUGCAGCGACGCCGCGUGAGCGAAGAAGUAUUUCGGUAUGUAAAGCUCUAUCAGCAGGGAAGAAAAUGACGGUACCUGACUAAGAAGCCCCGGCUAACUACGUGCCAGCAGCCGCGGUAAUACGUAGGGGGCAAGCGUUAUCCGGAUUUACUGGGUGUAAAGGGAGCGUAGACGGAAGUGCAAGUCUGAUGUGAAAGGCGGGGGCUCAACCCCUGGACUGCAUUGGAAACUGUACUUCUGGAGUGCCGGAGAGGUAAGCGGAAUUCCUAGUGUAGCGGUGAAAUGCGUAGAUAUUAGGAGGAACACCAGUGGCGAAGGCGGCUUACUGGACGGUAACUGACGUUGAGGCUCGAAAGCGUGGGGAGCAAACAGG